AUGGAGACAGACACAUUCCUGCUAUGGGUGCUGCUGAUUUGGGUUCCAGGUUGCACUGGUGACAUUGUGCUGACCCAGUCUCCUGCUUUGGCUGUGUCUCUAGGGCAGAGGGCCACCAUCGCUUGCAAGACCAGUCAGAAUGUUGAUGAUAAUUAUGGCAAUAGUUAUAUGCACUGGUACCAACAGAAACCAGGACAACAACCCAAACUCCUCAUCUAUUUAGCAUCCAAUUUAGCAUCUGGGAUCCCUGCCAGGUUCAGUGGCAGUGGGUCUGGGACAGACUUCACCCUCACCAUCGAUCCUGUGCAGGCUGAUGAUAUUGCAACCUAUUACUGUCAGCAGAGUAAGGAUUAUCCUCCCACAGUGCUCCAGGGCUGA